UACGGAGGGGGCUAGCGUUGUUCGGAAUUAUUGGGCGUAAAGGGCGCGCAGGCGGCUCGCCAAGUCAGAUGUGAAAUCCCCAGGCUCAACCUGGGAACUGCGUCUGAUACUGGAUGGCUUGAAUCCGGGAGAGGGAUGCAGAAUUCCAGGUGUAGCGGUGAAAUGCGUAGAUAUCUGGAGGAAUACCGGUGGCGAAGGCGGCAUCCUGGACCGGCAUUGACGCUGAGGAGCGAAAGCCAGGGGAGCAAACGGG
rnacentral:rRNA from 1 species